UACGUAGGGUGCGAGCGUUAAUCGGAAUUACUGGGCGUAAAGCGUGCGCAGGCGGUUUUGUAAGCCAGAUGUGAAAUCCCCGGGCUUAACCUGGGAACUGCAUUUGUGACUGCAUCGCUGGAGUGUGGCAGAGGGAGGUGGAAUUCCACGUGUAGCAGUGAAAUGCGUAGAGAUGUGGAGGAACACCGAUGGCGAAGGCAGCCUCCUGGGCCAGCACUGACGCUCAUGCACGAAAGCGUGGGGAGCAAACAGG
rnacentral:rRNA from 1 species